GUUGACACUCUUAUUACAAUUUGUCUAUGCAUUCGGAGUCCGAUCAUAAAGAUUCAUAUUCUCAAUCCAAUUAGGUGAUAUUGAACGGUCGGAUUGAUAAAAUUUGAAAUCUGCAGUUAAUGUCAGUAGUUUUAGUCAAACUUGACAGCCCUUUCAUUGAAACUAGGUUUCCUUCGACACUCUUAUUGCAAUCUGUGUAUACAUUUGGAGUCCGAUCGUAAUAAUUUCAAUUCUCAAUCGUUUGUCAGU
rnacentral:lncRNA from 1 species